rnacentral:rRNA from 1 species
CGUAGGUGCAAGCGUUGUCCGGAAUUAUUGGGCGUAAAGAGCUCGUAGGCGGUUGUCGCGUCUGCUGUGAAAUCCCGAGGCUCAACCUCGGGUCUGCAGUGGGUACGGGCAGACUAGAGUGCGGUAGGGAGAUUGGAAUUCCUGGUGUAGCGGUGGAAUGCGCAGAUAUCAGGAGGAACACCGAUGGCGAAGGCAGAUCUCUGGGCCGUAACUGACGCUGAGGAGCGAAAGGGUGGGAGCAAACAGGCUU